UGGUUACCUCUGUGUUGUAGCUAACGCGUUAAGCACUCCGCCUGGGGACUACGGUCGCAAGACUAAAACUCAAAGGAAUUGACGGGGACCCGCACAAGCGGUGGAGCAUGUGGUUUAAUUCGAUGCAACGCGAAAAACCUUACCACUUCUUGACAUGGAGGCUAGAUCCUUCUUAACAGAAGGGCGCAGUUCGGCUGGGCCUCGCACAGGUGCUGCAUGGCUGUCGUCAGCUCGUGUCGUGAGAUGUUGGGUUAAGUCCCGCAACGAGCGCAACCCUCAUCCUUAGUUACCAGCGGGUAAUGCCGGGCACUUUAAGGAAACUGCCAGUGAUAAACUGGAGGAAGGUGGGGAUGAUGUCAAGUCAGCACGGCCCUUAUGGGGUGGGCUACACACGUGCUACAAUGGCGACUACAAUAGGUUGCAAUGUCGCAAGA
rnacentral:rRNA from 1 species